GGAUCAUUAUCGAAAUUAUAGGUGAGGGUUGUAGCUGGCCUUUCGAGGCAUGUGCACGCCCGAGCCCCUUUAAUCCACACACACCUGUGAACCUAAUGUAAGGGCCCGGUAAAAAGGCCCCCUACGUCUUAUCACAAACCAAUUUGUAUGUGUCAUAGAAUGUAAAUUGAUAUCCUCGCCUUAAAAAAGCGUUGAUAAACUUAUACAACUUUCAACAACGGAUCUCUUGGCUCUCGCAUCGAUGAAGAACGCAGCGAAAUGCGAUAAGUAAUGUGAAUUGCAGAUUUUCAGUGAAUCAUCGAAUCUUUGAACGCACCUUGCGCUCCUUGGUAUUCCGAGGAGCAUGCCUGUUUGAGUGUCAUUAAAUUCUCAACUCUGAUCGAUUUGUUUCGAUCCCGGAGCUUGGACGUGGAGCGUGCCGGCGUGAGUCGGCUCCUCUCAAAUGCAUCAGCGGAAAUUCAACCUUUGGUUUUCUGGAUGUCAGUGUGAUAAUCACGUUGCGCUGUCAUCCGAACCUCGGAGUCCGCUUACAAUGGUCUUCGGACAA
rnacentral:rRNA from 1 species